rnacentral:rRNA from 1 species
GCACUGUUUCGGCUAGGGGUCUGUCAAGGACUACCAACCCGAUGCAAACUCCGAAUACCGGGAAAUUUGAGCACGGGAGACAGACGGCGGGUGCUAACGUCCGUCGUCAAAAGGGAAACAACCCAGACCGCCAGCUAAGGUCCCAAAAUUCUGGUUAAGUGGUAAACGAUGUGGGAAGGCAUAGACAGCUAGGAGGUUGGCUUAGAAGCAGCCAUCCUUUAAAGAAAGCGUAAUAGCUCACUAGUCGAGUCGGCCUGCGCGGAAGAUAUGGCGGGGCUAAAACCAGAUACCGAAGCUGCGGAUUCACCGUAAGGUGAGUGGUAGAGGGAGCGUUCUGUAAGUCUGUGAAGGUGGAUUGAGAGUCUGCUGGAGAUAUCAGAAGUGCGAAUGCUGACAUGAGUACGAUCAAACGGGUGAAAAACCCGUUCGCC